GCCGCCUUAACUCAGUUGGUAGAGUACCGCUUUCGUAAAGCGGGUGUCCCCAGUUCGAUCCUGGGAGGCGGCUCCA
rnacentral:tRNA from 1 species